CCUACGGGAGGCAGCAGUGGGGAAUAUUGCACAAUGGGGGAAACCCUGAUGCAGCGACGCCGCGUGAGUGAAGAAGUAUUUCGGUAUGUAAAGCUCUAUCAGCAGGAACGAGACAAGACGGUACCUGACUAAGAAGCCCCGGCUAACUACGUGCCAGCAGCCGCGGUAAUACCUAGGGGGCAAGCGUUGUCCGGAAACACUGGGUGUAAAGGGAGCGUAGACGGCGGUGCAAGCGUGAAGGGAAAGGCGGGGGCCUAACCCCCGGAUCGCUUUGGGAACUGGCCGGCUGGAGUGCAGGAGAGGUAAGUGGAAUUCCUUGUGAAGCGGUGAAAUGCGUAGAUAUUAGGAGGAACACCAGUGGCGAAGGCGGCUUACUGGACUGUAACUGACGUUGAGGCUCGAAAGCGUGGGGAGCAAACAGGAUUAGAUACCCGAGUAGUC
rnacentral:rRNA from 1 species